UGGUUACAGAAGAAAAAUGUGAAGGUUCUGGUGUGGCCAUCACAGUCUCCUGACCUUAAUAUAAUCAAGCCACUCGGGGGAGAUCUCAAAUGUGCUGUUCAUGCUAGACGACCAAAGAUUUUGCAUGACCUCGAGGCAUUUUGACAGGAAAAUGAGCAGCUAUAACACCUGCAAGAAUUAGGGGCCUCAAAGACAAUUAUAAAAGUCUGCACGCUGUCAUUGAU